GUCAACUACCCACCACUUAAAGCCUUGGGCUUUUGAAGUGGGGGCUUGUAAAAAGCCCUAGUUGACUAUCCCAAGUCUUUCGAGGACUACGUUGGUUGGGUCAUGACACCUACGAAUGCUCCUCUAGUUCGUAGCCACUGUC
rnacentral:sRNA from 15 species